rnacentral:rRNA from 1 species
GACAGAGGCCUCGAGCGUUAGGCGGAAUCACUGGGCUUAAAGCGUGUGUAGGCGGGCCCGUAAGUGUCUUGUGAAAUCCCACGGCUCAACCGUGGAACUGCUGGGCAUACUGCGGGUCUUGGGCCAACUAGGGGCAGCCGGAACAAGCGGUGGAGCGGUGAAAUGCGUAGAUAUCGCUUGGAACGCCGAAGGUGAAAACAGGCU